CCUCCUCGAUCUGCUGCGGGCAGAUGAAGUGGAUGUGCGAGUCGACCGCGCCGGCGGUGACGAUCUUGCCCUCGCAGGCGAUGACCUCGGUGCCGGGGCCGAUGACGAUGUCCACGCCCGGCUGCGUGUCCGGAUUGCCGGCCUUGCCGAUGGCGACGAUGCGGUGGUCCUUCAAGCCGAUGUCGGCCUUGACGAUGCCCCAGUGGUCCAGGAUCAGCGCGUUGGUCAGCACCGUGUCGACGGCGCCCUGCGCGCGGGUGAGCUGCGAUUGCGCCAUGCCGUCGCGGAUG
rfam:Roseateles aquatilis strain CCTG 48205 Scaffold8_2, whole genome shotgun sequence.